GCUUGGAAACACAACGGUUCGGUGCAUCUGGCUGUUAACCAGAAGGAUGGUGGUUCGAGCCCACCCAGGGGCA